rnacentral:siRNA from 1 species
CCACCACUAGAUCCGUAACACCA